rnacentral:misc_RNA from 1 species
UACGGAGGUGGCUAGCGUUGUUCGGAAUCACUGGGCGUAAAGCGCGCGUAGGCGGCUUAUCAAGUUGGGCGUUAAAGCCCGGGGCUCAACCCCGGAAAUGCGCCCAAGACUGGUUGGCUAGAGACCGAGAGAGGGUGGUGGAAUUCCCAGUGUAGAGGUGAAAGUCGUAGAGAUCGGGAGGAAUACCAGUGGCGAAGGAGGCCUGCUGGACUGAUACUGACACUGAGGUGCGAAAGCGUGGGUAGCAAACAGG